UAAACAAGAACAGUACGCGUUGUUGAAUAACAACUUGUUGAGUAAAAUGAUCGUUGAAUAACGAGUUUAUCAUUCGCGUUGAACCAUUCGUGGAGAUGAGGUUAUUCACAUCGUUGCUCAUGGUUCUGAGGCAAAUGUGGUUAGAUAUCAAAGAUGUUUGUUUAUUUCACCGUUGACAAUGGAUUUCUCAAACUAAGCUACAGAACAAAAAUAAAUGCAACCUGCUGCAGCUGAUAGUUUAGAAGAAGAACUUAGUAUGAAGAGAUCAGUAACCGUGUUUGUAUAAAAAAUGAAAUGCUAGUGAAAUAUGAAACGGAGAUAUAGAUAACUUGGAUACUGAUGACUAGCAAUUAGUCUUUUAUGAGAGCAUAUAAACACGAAAAAUGAAGCGGAUUAAAGUGAAGUUAAGCCUCGUCGUUCAUGUUUUCUGAGAAAAAUGCAGUUCGACAUCAAUGUUUUUUGUUUAUUUUACCGUUGCAAAUAUAUUUCUCAAACUAACCUACAGAACGAAAAUAAAUGCAACCUGGUGCAGCUGGGGUUUAUCAGUGAAUUGUCAACCAGAAUAUCGAGCAUCAACCUAGAAGAACUUUGAAUGGAGAUAUUAUUAACUGUGUUUAUGUGCAAAUGAAACAUGAAGCGCAGAUAUAUGUAUUUCAGAUUGAACAAAAACACCGUAUUAGAUAACUUGGAAACUAUUUAUCACUAGUAGCUAGUCUAUAUUCUCUUUUGCAUAAAAAUACGUGAAAUGAAGCGCAUUAAAUUUCUUGCUCCAAAAUAGCUGAAACUUCAGGAAGUAAGUCGGGAUUCAUUUUCAAUAUCAUUAUGUUUUUCAUGGUUAUAUCUUGAAGUCGCAUACGGGAAUCCGUUAGAAUGUAUUUUAACUGACUAAAAAGCCUCUCAACAGUUACCUGUGUUGCAGGACAGCCAUAGCCAAACGAUAAAUCCGGGGAUUAGAAUAUUUUCGUUGAAGCCAGUAUUUAACCAUAUCGAAUUCAUGUACUGCAUUAUCGGUCGAGCUUUGUUUCGUGCUAAUUUGUAUUUUCUGUCGGCUUUCUAGUUUGACCAUAUCACUAAGGGCAUCUUCAGCGGUGGUCCAAAUCGUUGUUUUGUUCUAUUUUUUUGGAACAAACUCAAUUUCACUGCUGCACCGGUGGUGUAAAUUUUGUUUUAUACCAGAUCUAAAUUGAAAAAAAUUGAAACUGGUAUACGUUUUGGUCUAAUUUUGUCACUUUUUGGAACAAGAAAUAGAUCGUUCUAAAACCCUUUGUACGCUGCC